rnacentral:rRNA from 1 species
UGGGGAAUUUUCCGCAAUGGGCGAAAGCCUGACGGAGCAAUGCCGCGUGGAGGUGGAAGGCCUACGGGUCGUCAACUUCUUUUCUCGGAGAGAAACAAUGACGGUAUCUGAGGAAUAAGCAUCGGCUAACUCUGUGCCAG